rnacentral:rRNA from 1 species
UACGGAGGAUGCGAGCGUUAUCCGGAUUUAUUGGGUUUAAAGGGUGCGUAGGCGGACGCUUAAGUCAGCGGUAAAAUUGCGGGGCUCAACCUCGUCGAGCCGUUGAAACUGGGUGCCUUGAGUGGGCGAGAAGUACGCGGAAUGCGUGGUGUAGCGGUGAAAUGCAUAGAUAUCACGCAGAACUCCGAUUGUGAAGGCAGCGUACCGGCGCCCAACUGACGCUGAAGCACGAAGGCGUGGGUAUCGAACAGG